UACGUAGGGGGCAAGCGUUGUCCGGAAUCAUUGGGCGUAAAGAGCGUGUAGGCGGCUCGGUAAGUCCGCUGUAAAAGUCCAGGGCUCAACCCUGGAAAGCCGGUGGAAACUGUCGAGCUAGAGUCCGGAAGAGGCGAGUGGAAUUCCUGGUGUAGCGGUGAAAUGCGCAGAUAUCAGGAGGAACACCAAUGGCGAAGGCAGCUCGCUGGGACGGUACUGACGCUGAGACGCGAAAGCGUGGGGAG
rnacentral:rRNA from 1 species